UACGUAGGUGGCAAGCAUUGUCCGGAUUUACUGGGCGUAAAGAGCGCGCAGGCGGUCGAUCAAGUCGAGUGUGAAAGCCCCCGGCUCAACUGGGGAGGGUCAUUCGAUACUGAUCGACUCGAAGGCAGGAGAGGGUAGUGGAAUUCCCGGUGUAGUGGUGAAAUGCGUAGAUAUCGGGAGGAACACCAGUGGCGAAGGCGACUACCUGGCCUGUUCUUGACGCUGAGGCGCGAAAGCUAGGGGAGCAAACGGGG
rnacentral:rRNA from 1 species